rnacentral:rRNA from 1 species
ACUAAAUAGAUACCCUGGUAGUCCACGCCGUAAACGAUGGAUACUAGCUGUUCGGAGCAAUCUGAGUGGCUAAAGCGAAAAAAGUGAUAAGUAUCCCACCUGGGGAGUACGCACGCAAGUGUGAAACUCAAAGGAAUUGACGGGGGCCCGCACAAGCGGUGGAGCAUGUGGUUUAAUUCGAUGAUACGCGAGGAACCUUACCAGGGCUUAAAUGUAGAUUGACAGGACUGGAAACAGUUUUUCUUCGGACAAUUUACAAGGUGCUGCAUGGUUGUCGUCAGCUCGUGCCGUGAGGUGUCAGGUUAAGUCCUAUAACGAGCGCAACCCCUGUCGUUAGUUGCCAGCGAGUCAUGUCGGGAACUCUAACGAGACUGCCAGUGUAAACUGUGAGGAAGGUGGGGAUGACGUCAAAUCAUCACGGCCCUUACGUCCUGGGCCGCACACGUGCUACAAUGGUAGGUACAGAGAGCAGCCACUGCGCGAGCAGGAGCGAAUCUACAAAAACCCGUAUCUCAGUUCGGAUCGGAGU